rnacentral:rRNA from 1 species
UAUGUGUGGCAGGGAUAAACGCUGACAGCUUCUAAGCGUGAAGCCCCCCUCAAGAUGAGAUUUCCCAUUUCUUCGGAAAGUAAGAUCCCUGAAAGAUGAUCAGGUAGAUAGGUUUGGAGUGGAAGUGUAGCGAUACAUGGAGCGGACAAAUACUAAUCGAUCGAGGACUUAACCAAAA